ACUGCUCCUGGUGCUGCAUCCCCCUCCAGAGGAAGCGCUCCCCCUACAGGUAGAAGGCAGCAGUUACUGGGAAGCAAAUUAGCCGUCAAGCAACUUCAGUGACUUGCCCCAAAGGAUUUAGAUCUCUUUCCUCCAGAAUAUUAAAAUCUCUAGACAUCUGAACCAAAAGAAAAAAAAUAUUGCCUUCAGUGAUGAAAAGCAUGGUGUGCAAAUCGACUCUGGGUUCCUGCGGAGAGAUUCACAUCCCACGUAAAUAACUCUUCAGGCGCCCUGGUCAGGACUUCUCAGGCAAAGUCUCUUCCGGGCAGCCUCAAUAGGACACAGCUGCACUGAUGUUAGUCUCAACUGAUGGAACGAAGAAGCCUCAUCUUUAUUCAGUGUAAAACAGCUGCCAAGAGAAAUGGCCUUUGAGAGGGGUGAUAAGUUCAUGAAUAUCACCUGUGUCGUGCAAAACACUAUUUGAUUUUUUUGAAAGUUUAAAUUGAUUGGAAAGAACAUAUGAAUUAAGUGCUAUCUCGUGAGUGAAAAGUUUUGCUGCAGGGUGACAGAGUGCGCCAUCAAGGUGAUACAUUUCAAACAUUACCUUCCUGUGACACAAGGGAGUCAUGGACCAAAUGGAACAGAGGAAAUUAUGACCCGCUGGCCAGGAUGGAUUUGUAACAUAGGAAUGCCACACCAAUAUCCUGCAUUCCUAUUUCAGAGAAUAAGACCUUGAGCAAAUAAAACAAACACUGAAGUAGAGUUUUUCUCUGUGUAUGAGUAUGCUCCACAAAAUUAGGCCAUGCUGGAAAUUCAUCAUGUAUUUAGGAAACUAUUCUCAAGGGAAAAAACAGUGCUAUCGACUAGUAACCUAAUAAUUUAACAUAUGCACACACCACACACACACAUACAGUCUUUUUCUCUGCCUUUCCAAAAAUGUCUAAUUUUUCUUUUAUAUUUUCAAAUUCUCAUAAAUUUCUCCCUUUCUUUCUGUUCUAUUUGAUUCAAGAGCUUCUUAUUUGACUGUUAACAAAACCCUUGUGUUGUAUUCCACAGGAAGUUCGUUCUUUCAGCUCUUGUCUGUCAAAAAGGUGGCAUAUGUUCCAUUUAAUGGAAUUGCUACCAAGGGAAAGUAAACAGUCUCCAAGAAUUACGAAGACAUUCUCCUCAGACUCGUUAAGAUUUGACCUUUUAAUAAAAGAUAGUGUUUACUUAAAGGUGAUAUUAUAUGAGAACUUGGGAAUGAAAUGUUGAUUUCUUUCACCUGGAAAAAAAAUGUGCAAUAAAAAUAUAAGCACGGACAAAGCCCUCAAUACAUGUAUACAUGCCAGGGAAUGUUACAAGUAAUUUACAUGUAUCUAUUAAUUUGCUUUU